rnacentral:rRNA from 1 species
AGCUCCAAUAGCGUAUAUUAAAGUUGUUGCAGUUAAAAAGCUCGUAGUUGGAUUUCUGGCUGGGCGCCGAUGGAACACAAAGUGCUUCCAAGGCACCGGCCAUCCUUCUGUAAACUAGGUUAGUCUUUGAUUAGACUGCUUAGGGAUCAGAUAAUUUACCUUGAGAAAAUUAGAGUGUUUCAGGCAGGCUUAGCCGGAAUACAUUAGCAUGGAAUAAUGGAAUAGGACUAUGGUCUCGUUGUUGGUUUGAGGGAUCGCAGUAAUGAUUAAUAGGGAUAGUUGGGGGCAUUAGUAUUUAUUAGCUAGAGGUGGAAUUCUCUAAUUUAAUAAAGACUAACUUAUGCGAAAGCAUUUGCCAAGGAUGUUUUCA